rnacentral:rRNA from 1 species
GGCUCAGAUUGAACGCUGGCGGCAGGCCUAACACAUGCAAGUCGAAUGGUAACAGGAAACAGCUUGCUGUUUCGCUGACGAGUGGCGACGGGUGAGUAAUGUCUGGGAAACUGCCUGAUGGAGGGGGAUAACUACUGGAAACGGUAGCUAAUACCGCAUAACGUCGCAAGACCAAAGAGGGGGACCUUCGGGCCUCUUGCCAUCAGAUGUGCCCAGAUGGGAUUAGCUAGUAGGUGGGGUAACGGCUCACCUAGGCGACGAUCCCUAGCUGGUCUGAGAGGAUGACCAGCCACACUGGAACUGAGACACGGUCCAGACUCCUACGGGAGGCAGCAGUGGGGAAUAUUGCACAAUGGGCGCAAGCCUGAUGCAGCCAUGCCGCGUGUAUGAAGAAGGCCUUCGGGCUGUAAAGUACUUUCAGCGGGAGGAAGGGAGUAAAGUUAAUACCUUUGCUCAUUGACGUUACCCGCAGAAGAAGCACCGGCUAACUCCGUG